rnacentral:rRNA from 1 species
GUUGUAUGGUUAAGUGACUAAGCGUACACGGUGGAUGCCUUGGCAGUCAGAGGCGAUGAAGGACGUAUUAACUUGCGAUAAGCGUAGAUUAGGCAGUAAAAGCCACUUGAGUCUACGAUUUCCGAAUGGGGAAACCCACACGCAUAAGCGUGUAUCUUUAACUGAAUACAUAGGUUAAAGAGGCGAACCGGGAGAACUGAAACAUCUAAGUACCCCGAGGAAAAGAAAUCAAUUGAGAUUCCGAAAGUAGCGGCGAGCGAAAUUGGAUUAGCCCUUAAGCUUUUAAUGAUACAGGUGAAGAGUCUGGAAAGUCUCGCGAUACAGGGUGAUAGCCCCGUAACCGACAUGUCAUUUUGAGUGAAAACGAGUAAGGCGGGACACGUGAUAUCCUGUUUGAAUAUGGGGGGACCAUCCUCCAAGGCUAAAUACUCCUGACUGACCGAUAGUGAACCAGUACCGUGAGGGAAAGGCGAAAAGAACCCCUGUGAGGGGAGUGAAAUAGAACCUGAAACCGUGUACGUACAAGCAGUAGGAGCAGGCUUGUCCUGUGACUGCGUACCUUUUGUAUAAUGGGUCAGCGACUUAUAUUCAGUGGCAAGGUUAACCGUAUAGGGGAGCCGUAGGGAAACCGAGUCUUAACUGGGCGCUUUAGUCUCUGGAUAUAGACCCGAAACCGAGUGAUCUAGCCAUGGGCAGGUUGAAGAUUGAGUAACAUCAAUUGGAGGACCGAACCGACUAAUGUUGAAAAAUUAGCGGAUGACUUGUGGCUAGGGGUGAAAGGCCAAUCAAACUCGGAGAUAGCUGGUUCUCCCCGAAAGCUAUUUAGGUAGCGCCUCGGACGAAUACUACUGGGGGUAGAGCACUGUUAAGGCUAGGGGGUCAUCCCGACUUACCAACCCUUUGCAAACUCCGAAUACCAGUAAGUACUAUCCGGGAGACACACGGCGGGUGCUAACGUCCGUCGUGGAGAGGGAAACAACCCAGACCGCCAGCUAAGGUCCCAAAUUACUACUAAGUGGGAAACGAUGUGGGAAGGCUCAGACAGCUAGGAUGUUGGCUUAGAAGCAGCCAUCAUUUAAAGAAAGCGUAAUAGCUCACUAGUCGAGUCGGCCUGCGCGGAAGAUGUAACGGGGCUAAGUAGUAAACCGAAGCUGCGGCAAUGCGAUUUAUCGCAUUGGGUAGGGGAGCGUUCUGUAAGCCGUUGAAGGUGUGUUGUAAAGCAUGCUGGAGGUAUCAGAAGUGCGAAUGCUGACAUGAGUAACGAUAAAGGGGGUGAAAAACCUCCUCGCCGGAAGACCAAGGGUUCCUGUCCAACGUUAAUCGGGGCAGGGUGAGUCGACCCCUAAGGCGAGGCCGAAAGGCGUAGUCGAUGGGAAACGGGUUAAUAUUCCCGUACUUCUUACAAUUGCGAUGGGGGGACGGAGAAGGCUAGGUGGGCCUGGCGACGGUUGUCCAGGUUCAAGUGCGUAGGCUUGAGAGUUAGGUAAAUCCGGCUCUCUCUAAGGCUGAGACACGAUGUCGAGCUACUACGGUAGUGAAGUCAUUGAUGCCAUGCUUCCAGGAAAAGCCUCUAAGCUUCAGAUUGUAAGGAAUCGUACCCCAAACCGACACAGGUGGUCGGGUAGAGAAUACCAAGGCGCUUGAGAGAACUCGGGUGAAGGAACUAGGCAAAAUGGUACCGUAACUUCGGGAGAAGGUACGCUCUUGACGGUGAAGUCCCUCGCGGAUGGAGCUGAUGAGAGUCGCAGAUACCAGGUGGCUGCAACUGUUUAUUAAAAACACAGCACUGUGCAAAAUCGUAAGAUGACGUAUACGGUGUGACGCCUGCCCGGUGCCGGAAGGUUAAUUGAUGGGGUUAGUUUUCGGACGAAGCUCUUGAUCGAAGCCCCGGUAAACGGCGGCCGUAACUAUAACGGUCCUAAGGUAGCGAAAUUCCUUGUCGGGUAAGUUCCGACCUGCACGAAUGGCGUAAUGAUGGCCACGCUGUCUCCACCCGAGACUCAGUGAAAUUGAAAUCGCUGUGAAGAUGCAGUGUACCCGCGGCUAGACGGAAAGACCCCGUGAACCUUUACUACAGCUUGGCACUGAACAUUGAACCUACAUGUGUAGGAUAGGUGGGAGGCUUUGAAGCGCAGACGCUAGUUUGUGUGGAGCCGUCCUUGAAAUACCACCCUUGUAUGUUUGAUGUUCUAACUUAGACCCGUUAUCC